rnacentral:rRNA from 1 species
CUCGUAGGCGGUUCGUCGCGUCCGGUGUGAAAGUCCAUCGCCUAACGGUGGAUCUGCGCCGGGUACGGGCGGGCUGGAGUGCGGUAGGGGAGACUGGAAUUCCCGGUGUAACGGUGGAAUGUGUAGAUAUCGGGAAGAACACCAAUGGCGAAGGCAGGUCUCUGGGCCGUCACUGACGCUGAGGAGCGAAAGCGUGGGGAGCGAACA